UGAGGAAUCUUGCGCAAUGGGGGAAACCCUGACGCAGCAACGCCGCGUGAGUGAGGAAGGUCUUCGGAUCGUAAAGCUCUGUCAGUUGGAAAGAAAUGUCUGAGAGUCAAUACCUUUCAGGCUUGACGGUACCAACAGAGGAAGCACCGGCUAACUCCGUGCCAGCAGCCGCGGUAAUACGGGGGGUGCAAGCGUUGUUCGGAAUUAUUGGGCGUAAAGAGCGUGUAGGCGGCCGGAUAUGUCAGAUGUGAAAGCCCCGGGCUUAACCCGGUAAGUGCAUUUGAAACUGUCCGGCUCGAGUAGGGGAGAGGGAAGUGGAAUUCCUGGUGUAGAGGUGAAAUUCGUAGAUAUCAGGAGGAACACCGGUGGCGAAGGCGACUUCCUGGCCCUAUACUGACGCUGAGACGCGAGAGCGUGGGUAGCAAACA
rnacentral:rRNA from 1 species